AAGCAAUGCUCAUCUGUUGUGCUCACGUUUAUAUUCUGUGAUGCCACCGCUGAUUACACUGAAGAUAUUCUGACUGCUGUCAGUGGAGUGAGAGGUGGACUGCGCCUGAAUGCUUGGAAGGACAGUUAAAUGUGAUCUCAAAUCAAAUUCUUAAGGACUUUAUGAGUUCCUUUUAUUUGGGGGCACGUAACUAAAGGAGAUGUUCAGCAUGUUCCUUGGUGGGUGCCAGAAAGCUUAUUUUCAGAAGUAUCUGAGGCUCAGGGAAAGUCAACGACGGCUAUAUUUACCCUGAAGUCUGUGCAACUGCUGCCAAAAUCGAGCCAUGUUCUUUUUGUAGGAAUAACCAUGAGAAACAACAGCAUUUGGAGGAAGGACCGGGCACCAUACAUGUGACUUAUCUGACAUAGAAUGACGUAGAUGUCUUAAAUGGGGUCCAAGAGGCCACCUGAGGUUGUGCCUUGAGUGCUGUCAUCAGAAGGGCAGAUGGGAAAGGAGACUUUAACUCUCGGUGCUAUUGGUAGGCAUUGUUUCCACAGAAGCCCCCUCCCCUGUUUGGCCCGUGGCUGUGUCCUGGUGGAGCUGGGCCAGGCGUUGUGCCACUGUCUGCUGACAGGAUCCAAUUUCUUCUUAUGUGGAAAUAUAAAUCUUGGCCCUUCGAUC
rnacentral:lncRNA from 1 species